GCUCCGCCCAACCGCCCCGCCGCGCCCCGCCCCCAGCUGCCUCGCCGUUGCGUUUGCGCCAGCCCCGCCCUCGCCGCCGUCCAAUCCCGGCUGCUCGCGCGAGCCUGCGCACUGGGACCCCGCCAUGCAUUCCCUUGGGGGCUGUCCACCGGCCUGCGCGUGCCUCUCUCCAAGGCCUCUAACGCCUACAGCUGUCCGAGUCCUGUCCCUACUCUGAGCCACUGAGCACUGUGUUCCCCAGGAGCGGCCGCCUGCCCCACACCUGCCCCUGAGCUCUCCACUGGGUGCCCAAAGCGCUGGGGUGGGCAGUCGGCUUGCAGUAUCACACAACAACUUCAUAGCCUGUUCCAGAAUGCGAGAGCCACUUCGUUGGAUCCCAGUUUCCUUGAAGGCAUGACCAGACCUGCCCCACUUAUCCCCCAGCCUUCAAUGCUGGUCCCAGCAGAGAGCCAUAUGCCUGAGUCGAACUGGGGUUGAGCAACAGCGGCCACCGUCCAGGCAGGAGAGGUCUGCUACCUGCUUGGUGAGUCACUCAUGGCAGAUGCCUUCUCUCCAUCAGAGGCAGCACCCAAGACACCCACCAGCGCCUAACAUCAGGAUUCUGCAUGUGGUCACCAUUUCAAAAACAUGAGCAGCAUGGCAGAAUCAGAAUGCUCUUGCUAUUGCUGUGUCCCCACACAGAUGGCUGCUCAGGGACACAUGGAGGAUCUCCUUCUCACAGCAUCAGGAAAUCUCAGCAUGGAAUCCAAAUGAACACUUGGUGGGAGGAGACCCUGCAGUCUCAUCCCAUCUCUCCCAGACUUCCUGCUACACCACACAAUGCUCACGGAGGCCACUAACUCAGAAGCCUCUUCUUGGUUUUCCAUCUUUUUACUAGUGAAAAAUUCAAAUAACUAUAAAGUUUAGGACCUCAUCACAGAUUACUUCCAUUCUCUGGAGGCCUCUUAAAACCCUUGUGUCCUGGCAAUUACCAGUGGUAUGAGGAAUCUUGCAAGCCUGGCCUUAGCUCCCUGCUUUCCUACUGAUUAGCUGAUGACCUGGGGAGUGUGAACAAAUGUGAGCCUAAAAGAGCCAAUCCUUCAGAUGGAUCCCAAGUGGCUAACUAGGCCUAAAUUUAAAAUAGAGUCAAGCAGCAUUUGCUGAAUGGAAGUCACACACAUACUCUAGUUCCCUAAAAACCCACAAGUCUUUAACUUUGGGAUUUUCAGCUCACACGAACCAACCAAUGAGACUGCCUUGGUCAAUGAGGGCUCAGCUGCACUGAGCAAUCAAAACUAAGCAAGUUUGGGGGGUGGAGCAAGAUGGCGGACGAGAAACACUGCCAGACAGAGUGUCUCUGCAAAAAAGACAGA